GGAGAGGUGCAGGAGUGGUUGAACUGGACUGUCUCGAAAACAGUUGUGCCGUUUAUGCGGUACCGUGGGUUCGAAUCCCACCCUCUCCGCCA
rnacentral:tRNA from 1 species